CUGCUUCCUAGGGAGGGAGGCUGGGGCGGCAAGGCGGGCGCGGGUGGUCCUUGCCCCGCGCCAGCUCGCCAGGCCACGUCGCUGGCGUUUUUCCAGCGCUGGGUCACCUGCGGGCCGGCGGGUUCCCGCGGCGAACAGCUGGGUGGUAUGGAUACGCCGCUCGAGCCUCCGCAGCGUCAGGUCGCCAGGGUCCGCCCUGCCACUCGCCCCACCUUGAGCUACCUCUGAAGAAAAGAUGAUGGCCCGGUGCGGUGGCUCACGCCUGUAAUCCCAGCACUUUGGGAGGCCGAGUCAGGCGGAUCACCUGAGCAGUGUAAAGAAAGUCUGAAGAAUACUCCAGGAAAAUUGAGGAAACUAAAGCUAUUUCUACUACUGGUCUCAUAAUUGCAAAGCCAGUGCCUACCAUGAUAAGUGCUCUCUUACUUGGUAUGAAGGAAAUGAUUUUCUUCCCUUGCUAUUUUUUUUAGCUGGAGUGCAAUGGCGUGAUCUUGGCUCACUGCAAC
rnacentral:lncRNA from 1 species